CCCCUCUCCUCUCUCUCCCUCCCUCGCCCCCCUCUCUUCCUCCCUCCCCCGCACUUCCUCCUUCCCCUUCAGGAUAUAAGACCCUGGAAGACGCGACCAACACAGUCUUGCUCCAGUACUCGAGAAGGGAAGCUAUACAAUGAGACGCCUCUUACUCACCCUUCUACUAUUGUCGUUGCUGAUGCUGCUUCUGACGGAGGUGACGGGACGCCCACCGCCCGUGACAACGCCAGCCCCCUACCCACCCCCGUGCAUCUGCCCAGACCCACCGUGUGACUGCGACAUCAUCAAAUAUCCACUCGAUAAGAGAUAAUAGAGUGGUGUGGACCAAGUCACGUGUAUAUAUAACCCCCAAGAUGUGUGAAAAGCUCUCAGUAUUUAUCUCGAGGUGAUUCUGUGCGGACGUGUUGUUAUGUUGUUUAUGUGCGUGUCUUUGUUGGACUGAUAUGCAAGGACCGCUACCUCAAGGGUCAUUCGUGUUGAAGAAGUGAUUCCUUCCAGAUAUCGGAUUCAUGUUCAACCUCCAUAGCCAUUGCAUAGUUUGCAUUGGCUGAGCCUUUUAAGAGUCGAGUAGAUUCUAUUGAAAAUUUGUUCUAGUAUUAAAUUAUGAAAACUAUAUCGUAGUGAUAUCUGUAAAGGAAGUGGCUAUGAAUAUUGGUUUCAGAAGAAAGGAAGGAAAGGGAGAAGUGUGUGUGGGAUUGUCCAAAGUCUAAUUAUUGUGAUGUCGCCGAAUAAAAGUGAUGGAAUGCG